rnacentral:lncRNA from 1 species
UUCUCUCCCCGAUCUCAUGUAGCCCCUCGGACUUCCUGUUUACUUUGAAAGUUGUUGACCUACAAAUUAAAGUAUUGCAUGUUGAUGUUUAAAUCAUCUACAGCAAACAUCACUAUGUUUAAAUUCAACAAAUACUAUUUUUUAAUAAGUGCACAAUCUUUGAGAAUGAUUUAAAUAACCAGUGAAGGAUAUCCCUGCUUAUGCGUAGUGUGGCAUUCCAACAAUGACGUCACUAUAAAAUAUAAUGUAGGUUGGAUAUAUUUAGAAUAUCUCGU